AUGGAUGAGGUCACAAGGGAUAUAGAAGGAGGUAUCCCAUGGUGUAUGCUCUUUGCGGAUGAUGUGUUGCUAGUUGACGAUAGUCGGACGGGGGUAAAUAGGAAGUUAGAGUUAUGGAGACAAAUCUUGGAAUCGAAAGGGUUUAGGCUUAGUAGAACUAAAAUCGAGUACAUGAUGUGCGGUUUCAGUACUACUAGGUGUGAGGAGGAGGAGGUUAACCUUGAUGGCCAGGUGGUACCUCAGAAGGACACCUUUCGGUAUUUGGGGUCAAUGCUGCAGGAGGAUGGGGGUAUUGAUGAAGAUGUGAACCAUCGAAUCAAAGCCGGAUGGAUGAAGUGGCGCCAAGCUUCUGGCAUUCUCUGUGACAAGAGAGUGCCACAAAAGCUAAAAGGCAAGUUCUACAGGACGGUGGUUCGACUGCAAUGUUGUAUGGCGCUGAGUGUUGGCCGACUAAAAGGCGGCAUGUUCAACAGUUAG
rnacentral:rRNA from 1 species